ensembl:lincRNA
AAAAUUUUAGGAAAAAAAAAAAUCAUGCCCAGUCACGUGUUCCUUCUGCCAUCCCUGCAGGCCUGUCACCAUCUGCUCCGGGCCAGCUGGAGCGCCCACAGCUGCAGAUCUUCCCCGAAAGCACUGCUGAUCAUUUCUGCAUUUACUGGGUUUGCUCUCUGUGCCUGGAAGGACCUCUCCUGGUCGUCUUGUCCGUGUCAGAGGGAGAGUGCGCGGGCUGGAAAUCGAGACCCUACUGAGCCCCCAGAGCCCCCAGGUACUUCCAGCCGUCGUCCAGGGGAUCACCUCCCAGAGCUGAGACGGCGUCACCCUCUUACCGGCCCGAAGACUGGUGCCAGCUCUGUCAGGAUCGGUGGCUUACGGCUCGAACACCAAUAUUUGAGAGAGAAAUGAUGGGGGAAAGGAAGGGUUGCUUUAUUCUGGAAACCAGCAGCCUGGAAAAAGGUUGAACUCAAGUCCCAAAGACCCACUUCCCCGACCAGGAGAAGACAUGGGCAGGGCAGCUGCCCGGAGCCCCCGGGGCCGCUGGGUGUGGACUUGACCCUGAACAGACCUGCCGGAAUCUGUGACGGCUGUUCUCAGACUCGGUCACGCCUCAUCUUCUUGGAGCAUCUGGUUCUUCACCCCGUGAGGCCAGUGGUCUGCAGACGUCAAGCAGAGCUGUUAGCUCUGCUAGGGACGGAGGACUUAGGUCAUCAAGAAGAGAGCGUGAGCAAGGGUCUGUGUGCGGAGGGUUAACAAAGUUCAAGAACAGCUAUAGCAGGCAGAAUGAAAAUUCUCACAACUCCAGUGUGUAUGAUGGCUCGAAGGCAGGGGCCCGGCCUGCAGGUGGGCAGCCCAGCAGACGGAGGGCUGGGGAUGGGGGGGUUGCGGGGGGUGCAGCCAGCCCCUCCCUGAUCUCGUGGACGUGCAUUUCUGCUUCUCCAACAGGUGGUCUUGCCGUCACACAAACCCCCUGCUCAGCAAGCGGGUGAUCAAGGCCACGCAGCCACCCUAAACCUGCGGCCAGCCUGUCUGUUGGCGUUGGCCGGGCUGCCCCUGCUGUGGCGGCGGAGCCCAUCUCCUCGCGUGAGGGAGACGCUUCUGAUGGCGACAGCUCAGCACCUCUUCUGACCCUGGAAGAAAGACGCCCGCUCCCUCCGGAAGCAAACCCAGGGGCAGUCAUGGAGGCCCCGCGGGAUCGGAGCUCUGGUGUGUUACAGGUGGGAACAGGGACACCAAGGUGUCCGGUAAGGACUGACCUCUGGUUUGCCAGCCUUCCACACAUGCUAGACCCCGGGCAGUGCCAUCCACCGCAGCAAAAGCAAAGCCAGACGCAGCAUAGAGGACCCGGCGGUGAUGUGGACCGAGAGAGCCACAGCCUCCUGGGGGGUCCUCUCCCACUGCAGGUCGGCGAGUCCGGACGGCGUCCGGGAGGCCUGCUCUUCCUAAAAGGGUCUUUGCUAAAAACCUUGAAAGAGCACAAACUCACCUGGAUCUCUCCCCUUUGGAGAGAGACCACGUUCAGGUAAGGAAAGGUCCUGGGGCAGGGAAGCCGGUGCAUGGACAGGGUGGAGGGCGUUGGCUGGGCAGCACAGGUGUGACUGGGGAAGGCCUGGGACCGCCGGGGCCUCGCCUCGCGGUGGGGAGCGUCCAGCGGCUUACGAGGGUCGUCAGCAUUGGCCCCGGGGACUAGAGAUGAACUCGUUGCCGGCGAGACCGAGAGGUCUGGGACCCCGUGACCAGACCCGACGGCUGGAGAGGUUCCCGAAUUUGCAGUGGGAAGCGAGCAUCGUCUUCUCCAGAAGAGAGAGGAAGUAAGACAGGGCCGAAGCCAGAAAGGGCACGGGCCUGGCGUGGUUGUCCGGGACAAGCGGCCCGUCCGCUGCCCUCUGCCUCUGCUCUGCGAAGUCCUGACUCUCGGGUUGUCGGGGGCGUGAGGGCUGCUCAGGGCUCGGCGCUUUCUUCAGAGACUGGGGGUCUGUCCCCUGGGGUUCCGUUGGCAGCACAAGGGUUGGUUAACAGCACCUGGGGGGGCCUUCCAGGUGGGCGUGAAGAGACGCACGAGGAUGCCUCGGCCGGAGACGCCGACUCUCCGCGAGGCCACACGCGAGGCUGCAGGGCUUCAGCUCUGUAAGAAGGUGGCCUCAGCGCGUUCUUCCUUUCCCUUUCUCUUUCCUUUCCUUUUUUAGGGUUUUAUUUGUGUAUUUAUGUUUAUUUAUCCCAGAGAGAGUGCGCGUGCGUGCGUGUGAGCAGGGGGAGGCACGGAGGGAGAGAGGAAGGCAGACAAUCUCAAGCAGACUCCCCACUGAGCCCAGAGCCCAACGUGGGGCUCGAUCUCACGACCCUGAGAUCACGACCCGAGCCGAAAUCCAGAGUUGGACUCGUAACCGACUGAGCCGCCCGGGCACCCCCAGCCUGGUUAUUUCUCAUGGAAGCAGUGAGGGCCACGCAAUAUUAAAGUGUCUCUCCCUUUCUUAGCUGCGGGUCGGAAGAAGUAGGAACCAGGCGCACUGCGUAUCCUGUGGUCCCUUGAGGGGUGAGUCUUGGAGCUGUGAAAGGACAAACCUGAGAAUCCAGACCAGCAACGGAGCCCCCUGUCGGGUGUUCCCAGGCUGUCCAUGAACUUUGCCGAGAGUCUCACUGGAGCCAUCCGUGUGCUCGUUGGCUCUGAGGGCUGAGGGUGCUUCCAGAGUUUCACAGGCUGAGGGGUAGGUAGGAACGACCCUGUCCCAGAGGACCUCAGCCCCAGAGGACCUCAGCCCCGGAGCAACAGCCCACCUACAAGGAUGACCAGCGGCUGUCCUACGGAUCCAGGAUCCAGCGAGUGAGUGCCCUGCCCUGAGGAAGUACUCAAGGGUCGGAAUUCUGCAGGGAUCAGAUAGGGAGAAAAGGUAAUGGUUUAAGGCUCCGCAAAGGUUAUAGCUUGAGGGAAAGUGUCCUUCUGUGCAGUGCAACGGUGUGGUUCAGGAGUCCCCGGAGAGCAGCACGCCCAAGCCAUUGCCCGAGCCCGUUGCUGAAUUUCUCUGCAGAUGAGGCCACGGGCAGCUGCGUCCCGGUGAAAGGGCAGUGUCUGCAGGGGACCGAGGCUCGGCUGCCGUCACCGUGUGUCCGAUGUCACCGUGUGUCCGAUGGGAGCUCGCUGUGGCCGAGCUGACAAGAGCAUCUGCUUAUUGCCGUGACAUGCAUUUAAAAUUACGACUGAUGUGUUAUAUCAGGACAGGUGAGAUGGCCAGAAAUUUCACAUCACUUCUGGAACAUUUAUAACAUAUACCCAUACAGACAUAGGGUAAAGAGGGCUUCCCGUGCAAUUUAACAUCUCAAAUAAGCCGAGUUAGUUUAAAUUCUCCUUUAUAUAAGGAGAGAGAACAAAUCUUAAGAUAUUUCAGGGACCCUCUGUAAAACUCAAAGUUAAUUCAAGUUCCAAAAGGUUUUACCUGGAAUUUGAAUUUUGGAAAGUUUGUCAAAAAGAUCAGAAGAUUUUCAAGCACUUAGGCAAAUAGGAUCAUAGGUUGCCAUGAACCGAUAUUUGGUUAACCCUUUAACCAAAGUGACGAAGGCUUCAGAGGCAAGCGCAGAAGGUCACGAACAUCUUAGCAAAACUUAACCCUUGAUAUCGAGAGGACGAGGUUUCCUUUGGCCGGCGAAGGCCUGACAGACGUGGGAAAUUAUUUUGGCAAAAUGUAUGAUGCUUGUUUUCUGGGCAGAUAAUUUGGAUAAAUAGAGGAAAGGCUGUCACAGUCUCUUACCAGGAGCAGACCCGUGUCCUUCCAGAAGAAAGGAAGUCAGGUCCCAGGUUUAUGCACAGACACGACUGAUGUUGAAGCUUGUUUUUCAACCUGAGCACAUGGGGUGCCUGGGUGGCUCAGAGGGUUAAGCCUCUGCUUUCAGCUCAGGUCAUGGUCUCGGGGUCCUGGGAUCGAGCCCCGCAUCGGGCUCUCUGCUCAGCGGGGAGCCUGCUUCCUCCUCCCUCUGCUGUCAUUUCUUCUGUUUGUGCUGUCGUUUUCUGGCAAAUAAAUAAAUGAAUAAAUAAAAUCUUCAAAAAACAAAAAAAUUCACUCACUCUCUUCCAGUUCAUCAAACACAGAAUCUCUCCCACAACAUUCCUUCUCCACGGACCUUCUACCGCUUUUUAUUCUAGGGUGUUCCCUGUUCUCAUUCCCUUUCUGAAGUAACCGGCUUUAGGACGAAAUUACUUUCAUUUCCCUCCACAAAGUGUAUUUCCUCUCCAAAUGCCUUCUUUUACCAAAAAUACACAUCGCACCCCCUUUUCCUGGCGUAUGGAGAUAUUUUCUUAUUUCUACCAGUUUUAAUUAGAUGUUAGUUAGAGUGUUGAAUCCUUAG